rnacentral:rRNA from 1 species
AUGAACGCUGGCGGCGUGCCUAAUACCUGCAAGUCGAGCGAACGGACGAGAAGCUUGCUUCUCUGAUGUUAGCGGCGGACGGGUGAGUAACACGUGGAUAACCUACCUAUAAGACUGGGAUAACUUCGGGAAACCGGAGCUAAUACCGGAUGAUAUUUUGAACCGCAUGGUUCAAAAGUGAAAGACGGUCUUGCUGUCACUUAUAGAUGGAUCCGCGCUGCAUUAGCUAGUUGGUAAGGUAACGGCUUACCAAGGCAACGAUGCAUAGCCGACCUGAGAGGGUGAUCGGCCACACGGGAACUGAGACACGGUCCAGACUCCUACGGGAGGCAGCAGUAGGGAAUCUUCCGCAAUGGGCGAAAGCCUGACGGAGCAACGCCGCGUGAGUGAUGAAGGUCUUCGGAUCGUAAAACUCUGUUAUUAGGGAAGAACAUAUGUGUAAGUAACUGUGCACAUCUUGACGGUACCUAAUCAGAAAGCCACGGCUAACUACGUG